rnacentral:rRNA from 1 species
GACGAACGCUGGCGGCGUGCUUAACACAUGCAAGUCGAACGGAAAGGCCCUGCUUGCCGGGUACUCGAGUGGCGAACGGGUGAGUAACACGUGGGUGAUCUGCCCUGCACUUCGGGAUAAGCCUGGGAAACUGGGUCUAAUACCGGAUAGGAGCCAUUUUUAGUGUGAUGGUUGGAAAGUUUUUUCGGUGUAGGAUGAGCUCGCGGCCUAUCAGCUUGUUGGUGGGGUAAUGGCCUACCAAGGCGGCGACGGGUAGCCGGCCUGAGAGGGUGGACGGCCACAUUGGGACUGAGAUACGGCCCAGACUCCUACGGGAGGCAGCAGUGGGGAAUAUUGCACAAUGGGCGCAAGCCUGAUGCAGCGACGCCGCGUGGGGGAUGACGGCCUUCGGGUUGUAAACUCGUUUCGCUAGGGACGAAGCUUUUUGUGACGGUACCUAGAUAAGAAGCACCGGCUAACUACGUG